CUGUGGCGACCCCAAAUCCGGGUACUUGCAACCCGAACUCGGUUCUCCACGAUACCAUUUCUUUAAGCUGAAUAAUACUAAAUAAUAAUACAUUCGAACUUAAUUUACAUACAUCAAAGUUUACUUCCCCAAGUACGUGACCUUCAAAUACAUUCCUUACAAUAUCUGACAAUAGAUUCCAUUGUCUUACUAACUACAACCAUUAACUCAUACAAAAUCUCAUUCGAAUAGCUUUUCUUUUCCCUUGUUCGUGCCUGAGCCUUCAGGUCGAUCGUACGUAACUAAAAACAUUUAAUUUAAGCAAGGAUGANN
rnacentral:lncRNA from 1 species